GGAGGCUGGAGAGGAGCCGGCCCCGGGCAGUGUGAGGUGCGGAAGCGCGGUCCAGACACUUUGCUGACGGGAGGCCGGUCCGCCAGAUCCGGGAGGUGGGGCCUCGUUCUGGACUGCUAUAAGAAACAGAGGCAAAUGCAGGUUGAGGAACCUCACAGUAAGGGAUAAAACGCAUAUUUUAACCUGAUCUGCCUGAUUCUGGAGCCUGCACCAUCAUUCCAUUGUCGUGCUUGCCACAUGGAAGAAAUUUGGGUACAGAGACAGACAAGCACCAAGAGAAGAUGAUGUGAAGAAGCACAGCGAGAACACCAUGUGAAAAUGGAGGACUGGAAUGAAGCAUCUACAAGCCAGGAAAUGUCUGAGGCUACCAGAAGCCAGGAGAGAGGCCUGGAACAGAUCCUGCACUAGAACCUUCAAAGAGAGCAUGGUCCUGCUGACAUGUUGAUUUUGGACUUCUGGCCUCCAAAGCUGUGAGAAUAAAUUUCAGUUGUUUUAAGCC